rnacentral:misc_RNA from 1 species
UUGGUAUUGGUUUUGCCCUUCGAUAGAAACACACCGAAGUGUAUCCCUAGGGAAGUUAUAUGGCGGCUUUAUUUCAGGGUGCCUUCGUACAUGAGUAUUCUCAGAGGUACUCCAGCGGGUUAAAAUAUACGAAAGCAACAGGAUGUAUGCACUGGACAACCGAGUACUCCCUAGGGAGUAAGUCCGACGGACUGAAGCCAGGCAUCCACCACAGUUGGUAGUUCCACGGGUCAACAUCGAUGCAGCCGAAGCCGACAUCUUUGUUUUGUUUUGGGUGUGGUAAUGAUCCUUCCGCAGGUUCACCUACGGAAA